rnacentral:tRNA from 1 species
GCCCCCGUAGCUCAACGGAUAGAGCACCGGCCUUCUAAGCCGUAGGCUCUGCUAACAAAGCUACCGGGGCACAA